rnacentral:sRNA from 1 species
GCCUGCCUCCAGCCUGACCGGAGUUCUUUAGGUGCUUGAACAACUCGGGCCGCCAGUUAGAAUUUUUGCCACUCGGGUCGACUCUGCCUGAGCCAACCGCCUCCAAAUAGGCUGACCAGCUGACUGAGGAGCAGAUCGCAGAGUUCAAGGAGGCCUUCUCCCUCUUUGACAAGGAUGGAGAUGGCACUAUCACCACCAAGGAGUUGGGGACAGUGAUGAGAUCCCUGGGACAGAACCCCACUGAAGCAGAGCUGCAGGAUAUGAUCAAUGAGGUGGAUGCAGAUGGGAACGGGACCAUUGACUUCCCGGAGUUCCUGACCAUGAUGGCCAGAAAGAUGAAGGACACAGACAGUGAGGAGGAGAUCCGAGAGGCGUUCCGUGUCUUUGACAAGGAUGGGAACGGCUACAUCAGCGCCGCAGAGCUGCGUCACGUAAUGACGAACCUGGGGGAGAAGCUGACCGAUGAGGAGGUGGAUGAGAUGAUCAGAGAGGCUGACAUCGAUGGAGAUGGCCAGGUCAAUUAUGAAGAGUUUGUACAGAUGAUGACUGCAAAGUGAAGGCCCCCCGGGCAGCUGGCGAUGCCCGUUCUCUAGAUCUCUCUGUUCUCGCGCGCGCACUCUCUCUUCAACACUCCCCUGCGUACCCCG